rnacentral:tRNA from 1 species
GGGGAUGUGGUGGAAUUGGUAGACACGCCGGUCUUAGAAGCCGGUUCUUCGGAGUGAGAGUUCAAGUCUCUCCGUCCCCACCA